rnacentral:rRNA from 1 species
CGGUCACGUCUCUAAGAGUUUGACUCUGGCUCGAGACGAACGCUGGCGGCGUGCUUAACACAUGCAAGUCGAACGAUGAAGCCUAGCUUGCUAGGUGGAUUAGUGGCGAACGGUGAGUAAUACGUGAGUAACCUACCUUUAACUCUGGGAUUAAGCCUGGGAAACUGGGUCUAAUACCGGAUACGACCAAUCUCCGCAUGGGGUGUUGGUGGAAAGCGUUAUGUAGUGGUUAUAGAUGGGCUCACGGCCUAUCAGUUUGUUGGUGAGGUAACGGCUCACCAAGGCGACGACGGGUAGCCGGCCUGAGAGGGUGACCGGCCACACUGGGACUGAGACACGGCCCAGACUCCUACGGGAGGCAGCAGUGGGGAAUAUUGCACAAUGGGCGCAAGCCUGAUGCAGCGACGCCGCGUGAGGGAUGACAGCCUUCGGGUUGUAAACCUCUGUUAGCAGGGAAGAAGAGAGAUUGACGGUACCUGCAGAGAAAGCGCCGGCUAACUACGUG